GAUUUCCCUCACGGAUGACGGCCGGGGGCUUAACGGUCUCAUGUGCCCGAGUCUUUGAGGUCAUUCUGGGUAUUCUUCUGUCGGGCAUUUACUUGUCCGAUGGAGGUUUCUUGGGACAUUUACUGUGAAAAAAUUAGAGUGCACAAAGCCGGCUUACGCUUAAUACAUUAGCAUGGAAUAAUAAUCUAGGACUUCGGUCCAGUUUGUUGGUUUUCUGGAUAGAAGUAAUGAUUGAUAGGGAUAGUUGGGGGUGCUCGUAUUGAGUGGCCAGAGGUGAAAUUCUUGGAUUCACUCAAGACGAACGACAGCGAAAGCAUU
rnacentral:rRNA from 1 species